rnacentral:rRNA from 1 species
AACGCGUAGGCAACCUGCCCUGUACAAAAGGAUAGCCUCGGGAAACUGGGAUUAAUACCUCAUAACGCGGGAGUAUCGCAUGAUACAAACGCCAAAGAUUUAUCGGUAUAGGAUGGGCCUGCGUCUGAUUAGUUAGUUGGUGGGGUAACGGCCUACCAAGGCGACGAUCAGUAGCCGACCUGAGAGGGUGAUCGGCCACAUUGGAACUGAGACACGGUCCAAACUCCUACGGGAGGCAGCAGUGGGGAAUAUUGCACAAUGGGCGCAACUGCAUGCAGCAACGCCGCGAUGACAGGAAGGCCUUCGGGUCGUAAAGCUCUGUCCUUGGGGAAGAAGGAAGUGACGGUACCCAAGGAGGAAGCCCCGGCUAACUACGUGCCABCAGCCGCGGUAAUACGUAGGGGGCGAGCGUUAUCCGGAAUUAUUGGGCGUAAAGAGUACGUAGGUGGUUUUGUAAGCGCGGGGUGAAAGGCAGUGGCUUAACCAUUGUUAGCCUUGCGAACUGCAAGACUUGAGUGCAGGAGAGGGAAGCGGAAUUCCUAGUGUAGCGGUGAAAUGCGUAGAUAUUAGGAGGAACACCAGUGGCGAAGGCGGCUUUCUGGACUGUAACUGACACUGAGGUACGAAAGCGUGGGGAGCAAACAGGAUUAGAUACCCUGGUAGUCCACGCCGUAAACGAUGAGCACUAGGUGUCGGGGUCGCAAGACUUCGGUGCCGGAGUUAACGCAAUAAGUGCUCCGCCUGGGGAGUACGCACGCAAGUGUGAAACUCAAAGGAAUUGACGGGGACCCGCACAAGCAGCGGAGCAUGUGGUUUAAUUCGAAGCAACGCGAAGAACCUUACCAGGGCUUGACAUCCCUCUGACCGCUCCUUAAACGGAGCUAUCUUCGGGACAGAGGAGACAGGUGGUGCAUGGUUGUCGUCAGCUCGUGUCGUGAGAUGUUGGGUUAAGUCCCGCAACGAGCGCAACCCUUGUCAUUAGUUGCCAGCAGGUGAAGCUGGGCACUCUAGUGAGACUGCCGGGGACAACUCGGAGGAAGGUGGVGAUGACGUCAAAUCAUCAUGCCCCUUAUGUUCUGGGCUACACACGUGCUACAAUGGCCGGUACAGAGAGAAGCAAGACUGUGAAGUGGAGCAAAACUCUAAAAUCCGGUCCCAGUUCGGAUUGUAGGCUGCAACUCGCCUACAUGAAGUUGGAGUUGCUAGUAAUCGCGGAUCAGAAUGCCGCBSBMBSAGCGUUCBCCGGGUCUUGUACACACCGCCCGUCACACCAUGGAAGUUGGGGGCGCACCGAAGUUGGUCAADAAGCGAUUACAUAAGKCGAAACCAAUGACUGGGGUGAAGCAGUAACAAGGUARC